UAGCAGUGCGGUCUCUCCCACCGCAGCCAAACCCUACCGCAGUCCUCCGACCCGUCUGUUCUUGGUCUCUCUCCCUCCUUAUCGCCGCCGCCGCCUCCUCUACAUUCCCUCUCUUCCCAGCGCCGCCUCCAUGCCUCUCCCCACCUUGCCCUCACCUCCACGCUUUGCCUCCAUGCUGGCACAAGCAGACCUCCUUUGCGUGAUGAAUCGACGAGGCGUCAGGGGGUAAUUUGGGAGGAGGCGUUCAUGGAUACUGUGUGCAGAGGACUAGAGGAGGGUUCCCACUCCCCAAGACCCCCGCGCACUAUCGCCAUCGAACAAAUCCGUACUUGACGUCGAUCUGUUCGACCUUCAGAAGUCUAUGGUAUGAGCGCGGCGAGCUCCAGUAAUCAAGAAAGGAAGAUGUUUUUGCAGCGUACAUUGACAAGCAAACAAGUGGCGCGGCGGCAGGUGGAGCGAUUGCUCGAUGGACCCUUUACCUUUCUCCUUUCAUCGUUAUUUCCAUUGUUAUUUCUGCCUCUUCUCUUGGAUCCAUGUACUCAAAGCCACGAGCUCCUUGUCGGAGUACAUAGCAAGGGGACCUUGUGAGUUAUAGAUCUGUGAUUAUAGUGUAUUAGGAGUUUAUGACUGGGCUACCUAUUCCCCACCAAGUCAAUGCUGAUGUGAGCUCUCUGUUACUUAGCUUCUUGACAUCCAUCUUCAAUCCCAACGAAUCUGUUGAACAUGCAGCAAGCACGAAUGCCAUACUUGAUUAGCAUCGCGAGCAAGCCUACAGGUCUCCAAUCUUGGGGUGCAGCUUUCCACAAGUCCCUCAUAUCCAUGUCACUAAUAAAAGGGUUAGUGUACAUAUUAGUUGAUAGCUGACUUAAGUUGCUUUUAAAAGAAUUUGUGUCAACAAUAUGAAAUCAAGUAGGAAAUCUAACCCAGCUACCUUACUCAAUGCUCUGUGCCGAAAUAUUUUUUAUCCGCCAUGUUUGUAUUUUUGGUUCUUCCUCUGCUGCUAGAUGUCUUUCAUUCCAGAUUGCAGAAACUGACGAAGCAAGGGGGAGGGGGGAAUCUCUAAUGCUAAGGCGAGGGGAACGGUUAUGUGAUUAAACUAUAAUUCAACAUUGAGCAGUGAAAAAAUAACUAUAAUUCAGCAUUCAGCAGUGAAGAAAAAACGUGGCAACAAAUUUGAAACUGGUUUACCAAAGUUUUUAAAAUUGGGGCAAUUAAGGUGGCUGCUGAUAAUCUCUGCAAUCUCAUGCAAGUAUUUGGUCUUCAAGAUCCUAAUUAAAAAAGAUCAUGCUUAUGGAAGAAAUUGGAAUUUUCUAUGUCUACUUAUUUGUUAUCUUUCUUUUUUAGAUUAUAUGGUAGUCAUCUGGUUUUAGCUUUCCAAAUAUAACCAUUUUGUUGGAUUUUCUCACUUCACUUCAGUGAUAUCUUAUGUAAGUUUGUGAGGAUAUUUUCUAAGAACUGCCUCUUAUAGGUGUUUGCACUAUGGGACUAUUUUUUCCUUUAGCAUCAAUGGAGUGAGAUCAGCGCAAAGCUUUGGAGCUCUAUCAAUUCUUUGUUUGUCAGCAAAGUCAUCUCCCAGCAUUCCACGAAGAAGUUCCUCAUUUCUAUAUUCAGUGUUUUAGGAACUGAGGACGUGUCAAAUGGAGAUGAAACUCAGAAAGAUGGCUUUUCUGUCAGCACUAUCACGUUCAAAUAUGGGGAGAUUCCUUUUCAUUAUUUGCUAUAUAGCACUAAAUCAUUUGGCAUACACUGAGACUUUUGUUGGUAAAAUUAAGAAACAAAAAUAGAACGAAAAAUCCCAGCCCACCACUAAGGAUCUUUCGUUUGAGGUCUGACUGUCUAAAAGAUCGGAGGUAAUUUUUGCUUGACUGCUAAAUCUUUGUCCUUUCUGAACUUGUUAUUUUUUGCCUGUCAAUGUUUAAGUUAGUCAUUGGUUGUGCUUUAUUAUAUAAAAGGCACAAGGCAUAAAUGUUGAACUGGGACUUGGUGCAACCAUAGAUAUUGCAAUCAGUUCUCUUACUGAGAGAGCAAUAAAUGAAAAUUGCUUGCUGUUCUCCUGAAAAGAAUCUCAUAGGAUGUUGUAGGCCAUUUCUGUUAAAACUCUACUGGAAUCUUAAUUGAUGCAAAAGGUUUAUAGUCUACUUGACCUCCUCUAUUUCUUUUAAACAUUUGUUCAUCACUAUCUGCACUUACAGUUUCUUCUCUUUUUAAUGUAGUUCCCAAAUCUGUAAAUUGAGAAGCAUUGCUUUAGUGCUUUUUAUAUUGAUUCUAAGCGAUGGUCCCAUAUAUCCACUAUAAUGUGGCUACAUCACUUCAAGAGCUUUUGCGUGUACGGGUUCCUGUGUAGCUGUAUAGAUGUGCCUAUUCAAGUGCUUAUCGAUGUGAAGGGACUUUGCCACUAUGAUGACUAGCAAUCCUUUGAAAACCUCAAAGUUGUAAACCGUGUAGUUUUCUACUAUUUUGUCUCUAGGUCUGCGAACCUACUACUGCCGUGAGACAUUUGGAUAGACAUUCUAAGCUACUGGCGAAGGCGUUCCAUAAUCAUAUUUUCUGAUUGUAAACUGUAAGGCUAUAUAAUGUACAAUGGAAUGAAACCAGAGGUGAAAUAUGGAAGAUGAGAUAGCUGCAUAAUUUGUACCAUGCAUGUUGAUAUGA